GUCCCGGGAGCCAGACACAAUCUGGCGGUUGUCAGCAGAGAAUGCCACACUCAAAACGUCCUUGGUGUGUCCAACAAACUGGCGAGUGGUGAGACCACUGAGGAGGAACAUCACACCAGUCAUUUAAGUCUAACACAGGAAGCAAACUUCCACCUAGACCCGGUCACUACUGAAGUGAAAUGCCCUUACGUGGUGAGGUCCCACAGGCGGAGGGUCCCGUCCCAGGCACCAGACAGGGCAAACUGUCCAUCAGAGGAGAUGACAACAUCACUUACGAAGUGAGAGUGGCCCUUCAACGAGCGCUGGGGGAUGCCAUAGUUCGUUUCAUCACGGGUCAGCUUCCACAUGAUGAUAGACUUGUCUGAAAAACAAACAGGGGGUCUUUUUAAUGCAUACCUCUAGUGCCCGGUCCACCUUGGGUGCCCGCUAGCCUCUCUACAAAGACUGUACAGUUGACUGUUGCGAACUCGACACUUGUGUGUCAUUGCACAGAUGACGCUACACGGUUGGUUAGCUAGCUAGCUAGCUAGCUAGCUGGGUCUAACUCAACAGCUGCAGUCAAUAUAAUGCGAAAACUCUACACAUUGCUUUCGUGGUUGAAUAUACAGCUUAACAUGCGUCUUACAAUAGCGUCGCCUUUAAUCCUACGUUUCAGCGGCAGACCAGCCAGCUGACUUGUGCUAUCCUAGCCAUGUUGGCUGUGCCGGCGGGGGAGCCUCACCUCGGGACGCCGACAGAAUCAUGUCGGGAUACUGGGGUGUAGUGGCGAUCUGGGUGACCCAUCCACUGUGCCCCUUGAGGGUCCCCCUCACUGUCAUCUGCUCGGUCAUUUUGGCGACAAUCGGUGCUACCUUUUACAAGGAUGGAUUCAGAUUUUUCAGAGGUCCGGAAAAACCUAGAUCCUCAUCGCAUCUGGGCACAGAGGAAAA